rnacentral:rRNA from 1 species
AUUGAACGCUGGCGGCAGGCCUAACACAUGCAAGUCGAACGAGUGGCGGACGGGUGAGUAAUGUCUGGGAAACUGCCUGAUGGAGGGGGAUAACUACUGGAAACGGUAGCUAAUACCGCAUACCAUCGGAUGUGCCCAGAUGGGAUUAGCUAGUAGGUGGGGUAAAGGCUCACCUAGGCGACGAUCCCUAGCUGGUCUGAGAGGAUGACCAGCCACACUGGAACGUGGACCCGGUCCAGACUCCUACGGGAGGCAGAGGUGGGGAAUAUUGCACAAUGGGCGCAAGCCGGAUGCAGCCAUGCCGCGUGUAUGAAGAGGUCCUUCGGUUUGUAAAGUACUUUCAGCGGGGAGGCGUUACCCGCAGAAAAAGCGACGGCUAACUCCGUGCCAGCAGCCGCGGUAAUAC